GAAGAUUUUAUGCAUGUGAGCCACCCGAGAUUUGGGCUUUAGCGCAAAUCAACUUGUACAACUGAAAAUUUACCUUAGCUAUAUAUAGAUCUCAAGUACAGCUAUCAGCUUGCACAGUCGAAAAUUUACCUUAGCUACAUAUAGAUCUCAAGUUAACAACCAAAGUAUUUAACUCAAAAAUUAAAUUUACUUUUUCAAAAAGCUUCCACAUGUCAUAUUUUAUCACAAAAAAUUACAUAAAAAAAGCUUCAACAUAUUUCCUAUUGAUAAAUCACAGUUAUUUUAUCCCCAUGUAUCACUUCUCUCAUGAUGUUAAGGGUAAGGGCCAAGGGGCAUUACAGUCACUACUUAUUCUCAUGGAAUCUAGAGGCACACUUCUCCAAGUAUAUUAGCACGUUUGAAAUGACAAACCAGCACUUCACGACUUGGGUCGCUGCAGUGCUAGGACCUAAUACAAAAGGUGUUUGCGUAAUUAGUAAGGUAUCUAUGUAAUAGGAAUGUUCUACUUAAAUACCUCAUAUUGGGUUCUAACAUGCAGGUUCUUUUCAUGGUCUCAACUAGAAAAAAACACAAUAAACUUUCCACCUUUGAUGUCCCACUAUUCUGCUAGUUUACAAACUCAGGGGAAGGACAUGGGUCACUACGUCAGAA
rnacentral:lncRNA from 1 species